rnacentral:ribozyme from 13 species
CUUUUUUGUUGUUUGCUUUUUGUUUUCUUUUCUUUUUGUUUCUAUCCCCCCAACCCUUUUUUUGUUCUUUAUCCAACAACACCAGCAAUGACAACUUUGGUGGCCAAAAAGGCAGGCAAGGAGGCUGUGAAGGCGUACAAGAAGGAC